rnacentral:lncRNA from 1 species
GGUGGGUUUGUUAGUUUGGAGGGUUUGGUGGGUAUGGUGAAUUUGUUGGUUUGGUUGGUGGGUUUAGCAUGUUGGUUUGGUUUGAUGGGUUCGGUGUGUUGGUUUGGUUGGUGGGUGUAUCGGUUUGGUUAGUUCAGUUUGUUGGUUUGGUGGGUUCGGCGUGUUGGUUUGGUUUGUCGGUUUGGCGGGUGUAUUGGUUUGGUGGGUUCGGUGUGUUGGUUUGGUUUGUUGGUUUGGUGGUUUGGUGGGUUCAGUAUGUUGGUUUGGUUGGUGGGUGUGUUGGUUUGGUUUGGUGGGUUCGGUGUGUUGGUUUGGUUUGUUGGUUUGGUGGUUUGGUGGGUUCAGUAUGUUGGUUUGGUUGGUGGGUGUGUUGGUUUGGUUUGGUGGGUUCGGUUUGUUGGUUUGUUUGGUUCGGUUUGUUGAUUUGCUUGGUGGGUGUGUUGGUUUGGUUGGUUGGGUGUGUUGGUUUGGUUUGGUGGUUUGGUGGUUUUGUGGGUUCAGUAUGUUGGUUUGGUUUGGUGGGUUUGGUGUGUUGGUUUGGUUUGUCGGUUUGGCGGGUGUGUUGGUUUGGUGGGUUCGGUGUGUUGGUUUGGUUUGUUGGUUUGGUGGUUUGGUGGGUUCAGUAUGUUGUUUGGUUGGUGGGUGUGUUGGUUUGGUUUGGUGGGUUCGGUGUGUUGGUUUGGUUGGUGGGUGUGUUGGUUUGGUUUGUGGGUUCGGUGUGUUGGUUUGUUUGGUUCGGUUUGUUGAUUUGGUUGGUGGGUGUGUUGGUUUGGUGGUUUGGUGGGUUCAGUAUGUUGGUUUGGUUGGUGGGUGUGUUGGUUUGGUUUGUCCGUUUGGUGGGUGUGUUGGUUUGGUUUGGUGGGUUAGGUGGGUUCGGUGUGUUGGUUUGUUUGGUUCGGUUUGUUGGUUUGGUGGGUUCGGUGUGUUGGUUUGUUGGUUUGGUUGGUGGGUGUGUUGGUUUGGUUUGUCCGUUUGGUGGGUGUGUUGGUUUGGUUUGGUGGGUUCAGUAUGUUGGUUUGGUUGGUGGGUGUGUUGGUUUGGUUUGGUGGGUUCGGUUUGUUGGUUUGUUUGGUUCGGUUUGUUGAUUUGCUUGGUGGGUG